GCCGGGCGUGGUGAUGCGCGCCUGUAAUCCCAGCUACUUGGGAGGCUAAGGCAGGAGAAUUGCUUGAACCCAGGAAGCAGAGGUUGCAGUGAGCCAAGAUCGUGCCGCUGCACUCCAGCCUGGGUGACAGAGCGAAACUCUGUCUCAA
rfam:Gorilla gorilla gorilla genomic chromosome, chr12, whole genome shotgun sequence